rnacentral:rRNA from 1 species
GAAUAUUGGACAAUGGGCGAAAGCCUGAUCCAGCCAUGCCGCGUGUGUGAAGAAGGUCUUCGGAUUGUAAAGCACUUUAAGUGGGGAGGAAGGGCAGUAAGCGAAUACCUUGCUGUUUUGACGUUACCUACCGAAUAAGAACCGUCUAACUCUGUCACAGCAGCCGCGGGCAUACGGAGGGUGCAAGCGUUAAUCGGAAGUACGGGGCGUAAAGCGCGCGUAGUGGUGUCGUUAAGUGGGAUGUGAAAUCCCCGGGCUCAACCUGGGAACUGCAUCCAAAACUGGCGAGCUAGAGUAGGGCAGAGGGUGGUGGAAUUUCCUGUGUAGCGGUGAAAUGCGUAGAUAUAGGAAGGAACACCAGUGGCGAAGGCGACCACCUGGGCUCAUACUGACACUGAGGUGCGAAAGCGUGGGGAGCAAACA